UACAGAGGCCUCAAGCGUUAGGCGGAAUCACUGGGCUUAAAGCGUGUGUAGGCGGAUCGUUAAGUGUCUUGUGAAAUCCCACGGCUCACCCGUGGAACUGCUGGGCAUACUGGCGAUCUUGGGCCAACUAGGGGCAACUGGAACAAGCGGUGGAGCGGCGAAAUGCGUAGAUAUCGCGUGGAACGCCGAAGGUGAAAACAGGUUGCUGGGGUUGUGCCGACGCUGAGACACGAAAGCCAGGGGAGCAAACAGG
rnacentral:rRNA from 1 species